GAAGAUAGAAAUAUAAGAGAGAUAUACAUAUAAAAUGAUUAGAUAGCUAUUCUUCAUCUUACCUUUUUUUCCCUUUUGAUUUU
rnacentral:ribozyme from 1 species